CCAGACUCCUACGGGAGGCAGCAGUGGGGAAUAUUGCACAAUGGGGGAAACCCUGAUGCAGCGACGCCGCGUGAGGGAAGACGGUCUUCGGAUUGUAAACCUCUUUCAGCAGGGAAGACAAAAGGACGGUACCUGCAGAAGAAGCCACGGCUAACUACGUGCCAGCAGCCGCGGUAAUACGUAUGGUGCAAGCGUUAUCCGGAUUUACUGGGCGUAAAGGGAGCGCAGGCGGCGCGCCAAGUCUGAUGUGAAACCCCGGGGCCCAACCCCGGGCAUGCAUUGGAAACUGGCGGGCUGGAGUGCAGGAGAGGUAAGCGGAAUUCCUAGUGUAGCGGUGAAAUGCGUAGAUAUUAGGAGGAACACCAGUGGCGAAGGCGGCUUACUGGACGGCAACUGACGCUGAGGCUCGAAAGCGUGGGGAGCAAACAGGAUUAGAUACCCCUGUA
rnacentral:rRNA from 1 species